rnacentral:rRNA from 1 species
UACAGGGGGGGCAAGCGUUGUUCGGAAUUACUGGGCGUAAAGGGUCUGUAGGUGGCUUGCUAAGUCAGACGUGAAAUCCCUCAGCUUAACUGGGGAACUGCGUUUGAUACUGGCGAGCUUGAGUGCAGGAGAGGAACGCGGAAUUCCAGGUGUAGCGGUGAAAUGCGUAGAUAUCUGGAGGAACACCGGUGGCGAAGGCGGCGUUCUGGACUGCAACUGACACUGAGAGACGAAAGCCAGGGGAGCAAACGGG